rnacentral:rRNA from 1 species
GAUGAACGCUGGCGGCGUGCCUAAUACAUGCAAGUCGAGCGAAUGGAUUAAGAGCUUGCUCUUAUGAAGUUAGCGGCGGACGGGUGAGUAACACGUGGGUAACCUGCCCAUAAGACUGGGAUAACUCCGGGAAACCGGGGCUAAUACCGGAUAACAUUUUGAACCGCAUGGUUCGAAAUUGAAAGGCUGCUUCGGCUGUCACUUAUGGAUGGACCCGGGUCGCAUUAGCUAGUUGGUGAGGUAACGGCUAACCAAGGCAACGAUGCGUAGCCGACCUGAGAGGGUGAUCGGCCACACUGGGACUGAGACACGGCCCAGACUCCUACGGGAGGCAGCAGUAGGGAAUCUUCCGCAAUGGACGAAAGUCUGACGGAGCAACGCCGCGUGAGUGAUGAAGGCUUUCGGGUCGUAAAACUCUGUUGUUAGGGAAGAACAAGUGCUAGUUGAAUAAGCUGGCACCUUGACGGUACCUAACCAGAAAGCCACGGCUAACUACGUGCCAGCCGCCGCAGUAA